AUGGACGAGGGUCCGGUCGGGGUUCUCCCGUCCCAGCCGCCCCCUGGGGGGCUCCCACCCCCUGGUCCCCUGCACGGUUUCCCGCCCCCUCCGACCCCCCUGGAGAUCCAGGCCUCCAGAGCCCACGCCAGGGCCCGAACCCUGGCGUGGGACGUCCCGGCGGGACCUGCCGCUGAACCCCCUCAAUGGGCUCAUUGUGGGGGCCCUCUUGGGGCUCUGUCGUGGUCCAGGAACGGCUGCGCUGGGGCGGGGCCGGCGGACCGCUCCCCUCACUCCUGGGGGAGGAGUGAGGGGGUAUGCGGCUCCCAUGGGACCCUGAAGCCCAGAGAGAACAGAGACAUGCUGAGCCCGGAGCGCGGCCCCGGGGCCCGCCCCGCCUCAGGACCGGAGCCGGAGAAUGUAGGGGAUCGGGGGCCCGUCCGGACCUCCAACGCACCAUCCCCGCUCCGAGGCCCAGGGGCCCAGCCGCAGGGGCCCCCAACCGCUACGACGCCACCACCGCCGGGGUCCAGGAGCCAAUCACGCGCGGGCUCCGCCGGCGGGGAAAACCUGAGGGUGGUCAAGCACAAGCCCAGCUUCAUCGUGUUCCGGGACUUUGACGCCGACGGCGCCCGGCGCCCGGGCCGCGUCGUCCGACGGGCGGAGUCGGACGCCGGAGGCUCGUCGGCGUCGGCGUCGGCGUCGUCGUCGGCCACCACCGAAGAAGAGGAUUGUCGUGACGACCAGGAAAAGGCGGAGGAGGCGGAUUUGAUCCCUGAGCUGUCGCAGUACGAGGGAUUCCCGGUCAGCCGUUGCCGUAGGAACCUGGCCACGAGCAGGAAGUGCUUGAGGAGGAGACGGGACGUCCCGGUGAUCAGCUCGGUCGAUCCGGUGGCGGCGGUGUCCGCGGACAGUGAGGAGGAGGAGGAGGAAGAGGAGGGAGCUAAGAACAACAAUGAACUGGUGAGGAGGAAAAUGCACUGUUUAUACCUAUUACAAGUUUAUCGAUUAAACAAGAUUGACAGACAUUGUAAAUAUGUGCAG
rnacentral:lncRNA from 1 species